rnacentral:pre_miRNA from 1 species
GAGACACCCUUAUGGCAUAGGACUUGCUUCAGCGAGGCUUUGGCACUCACUGAGUCUGCCCCCUGAGUGUGUCCCU